CAUGGAGCUGAAAUCAGUCGAAGAUACCAGCUGGCUGCAACUGUUUAUUAAAAACACAGCACUGUGCAAACACGAAAGUGGACGUAUACGGUGUGACGCCUGCCCGGUGCCGGAAGGUUAAUUGAUGGGGUUAUCCGUAAGGAGAAGCUCUUGAUCGAAGCCCCGGUAAACGGCGGCCGUAACUAUAACGGUCCUAAGGUAGCGAAAUUCCUUGUCGGGUAAGUUCCGACCUGCACGAAUGGCGUAAUGAUGGCCAGGCUGUCUCCACCCGAGACUCAGUGAAAUUGAACUCGCUGUGAAGAUGCAGUGUACCCGCGGCAAGACGGAAAGACCCCGUGAACCUUUACUAUAGCUUGACACUGAACACUGGUCCUUGAUGUGUAGGAUAGGUGGGAGGCUUUGAAGCGUGGACGCCAGUCUGCGUGGAGCCAACCUUGAAAUACCACCCUUUAAUGGCUGGUGUUCUAACGUAGACCCGUUACCCGGGUUGCGGACAGUGUCUGGUGGGUAGUUUGACUGGGGCGGUCUCCUCCUAAAGAGUAACGGAGGAGCACGAAGGUUAGCUAAUCCUGGUCGGACAUCAGGAGGUUAGUGCAAAGGCAUAAGCUAGCUUGACUGCGAGAGUGACGGCUCGAGCAGGUGCGAAAGCAGGUCUUAGUGAUCCGGUGGUUCUGAAUGGAAGGGCCAUCGCUCAACGGAUAAAAGGUACUCCGGGGAUAACAGGCUGAUACCGCCCAAGAGUUCAUAUCGACGGCGGUGUUUGGCACCUCGAUGUCGGCUCAUCACAUCCUGGGGCUGAAGUAGGUCCCAAGGGUAUGGCUGUUCGCCAUUUAAAGUGGUACGCGAGCUGGGUUUAGAACGUCGUGAGACAGUUCGGUCCCUAUCUGCCGUGGGCGCUGGAGAAUUGAGGGGGGCUGCUCCUAGUACGAGAGGACCGGAGUGGACGCAUCACUGGUGUUCGGGUUGUCAUGCCAAUGGCAUUGCCCGGUAGCUAAAUGCGGAAAAGAUAAGUGCUGAAAGCAUCUAAGCACGAAACUUGCCCCGAGAUGAGUUCUCCCUGAGACUUUAAGUCUCCUGAAGGAACGUUAAAGACUAUGACGUUGAUAGGUCGGGUGUGUAAGUGUAGCGAUACAUUGAGCUAACCGAUACUAAUGAACCGUGAGGCUUAACCUU
rnacentral:rRNA from 1 species